UAUUAUGCCAUGACAUUGUGUCAAUAUGCGAUGAUGUGUGUGAUGGCACAGCGUCAUCACGUGGUGACGCAACAUCAUGACGUAAGA
rfam:Ailuropoda melanoleuca scaffold395_19, whole genome shotgun sequence.